GUGAAUCAUCGAAUUUUUGAACGCAAAUUGCGCUUUUUUCGGAAGGCAUGUCUGUUUGAGGGCACCAUUUUACAAAUAAUGUGCAUUUCGUGUGUACACGUUGAUGAGCUCUCCAAAUUUAUGUUUUAAUUUUGGUGGCGUUUAAUAAACAGCGCGAUGCUUUUUUUCAGUUUGUGUGUAGUAAAAUUUUUUCUUGUUUCGGUUGUGAAGUGUGUGAUCGCGCAAUGGGUCUGGCAG
rnacentral:misc_RNA from 1 species